rnacentral:sRNA from 2 species
AAAUUCAUCAAACCUAGAUUUGAAGCGGAGGAACCAUCUUAUGGGGCGUAUCUUUUAGUAAGUUAAUUAAAAGUUAAGAGUUAGUAGUUACUAUUUAACUCAUAACUCAUAACUUAUAGAGAAAGACACCUUCCAGUCUUAGCCCGUCAGCUAACUCCGUCGGCAAUGGAAGGAACC